CCUACGGGAGGCAGCAGUGAGGAAUAUUGGUCAAUGGACGAGAGUCUGAACCAGCCAAGUAGCGUGAAGGAUGACUGCCCUAUGGGUUGUAAACUUCUUUUAUAUGGGAAUAAAACGUUCCACGUGUGGGAUUUUGUAUGUACCAUAUGAAUAAGGAUCGGCUAACUCCGUGCCAGCAGCCGCGGUAAUACGGAGGAUCCGAGCGUUAUCCGGAUUUAUUGGGUUUAAAGGUAGCGUAGGUGGAUUGUUAAGUCAGUUGUGAAAGUUUGCGGCUCAACCGUAAAAUUGCAGUUGAAACUGGCAGUCUUGAGUACAGUAGAGGUGGGCGGAAUUCGUGGUGUAGCGGUGAAAUGCUUAGAUAUCACGAAGAACUCCGAUUGCGAAGGCAGUUCACUGGACUGCAACUGACACUGAGGCUCGAAAGUGUGGGUAUCAAACAGGAUUAGAUACCCCAGUAGUC
rnacentral:rRNA from 1 species